GUAGCUUAUACUGCGAGUUGAACGUAUUUUUACGUAGCGAACGGGUGAGUAAUGCAAAGGUUAUUUGCUUUUAGAUUCGGAAUAAAAUACCGAUGUAAAAGAAUCAGAUCGUCUAAAAAUAAGCUUUUGUAGAAUUAGGUAGUUGGUAAGGUAAAGGCUUACCAAGCCGACGAUUCUUAGCUGGUCCGAGAGGAUGAUCAGCCACACUGGAACUGAGACAAGGUCCAGGCUUUUUUAUAAAGCCAGCAGUAGGGGAUAUUGGACAAUGAGCUAGCGCUUGAUCCAGCUAUACCACAUGAGUGAUUAAGGCUCUUUGGCUGUAAAACUCGAUAUUUUUGGGAAGAGAAUGACAAUACCAAAAGAAAAGUCCCGGCUAACUUCGUGCCAGCAGUCGCGGUAAUACGGAGGGGGCGAGCGUUAUCUGGAAUAAUUGGGCGUAAAGGGUUCGUAGGCUGUAUUUUGCUCGUUGAAUGUUAAAAAUCAGAGCUUAACUUUGAAAAUGCAUUCAAAACGUUUAUACUUGAGUACGAAAUAGGACAAUGGAAUUUUACAAGGAGGGGUGAAAUCCGUAGAACUGUAAAGGAAUGUCAAAAGCGAAGGCAGUUGUCUGGGUCGUUACUGACGCUAAGGAACGAAA
rnacentral:rRNA from 1 species